UCAAAAGAGGUCUCUGAAAUUUUAGAGGGUUGUGGUAUAUGAAUCAUUGCUGGAUGAGGAAAGGAGUGGGGGAGGAUCUGCAGUUUCAUGCAGCAUUGUACGAUGGAUUUAUAUGGCUGCCUGACUAGGAUGCUGGUGCCUGCAUACGAGCUGAUGUUCGGGAAGCCAUCCCUC